GGAGAUGUAUCGAAGAGGUCAUAACGAGCUUGACUCGAAAUCAAGUAACCAUGUAUUUGGUUCGUGGGUUCGAAUCCCACCGUCUCCG
rnacentral:tRNA from 1 species